rnacentral:rRNA from 1 species
GACAGAGGGGGCAAGCGUUGUCCGGACUUACUGGGCGUAAAGCGUCCGCAGGCGGCAGGGUAAGUGCGCGGUGAAAGCGCCCAGCUUAACUGGGCGAGGCCCACGCAGACUGCCCCGCUCGAGGCAAGCAGAGGUAGGUGGAAUUGCCGGUGUAGUGGUGAAAUGCGUAGAGAUCGGCAGGAACACCAAGGGGGAAGCCAGCCUACUGGGCUUGUCCUGACGCUCAGGGACGACAGCGUGGGGAGCGAACCGG